rnacentral:rRNA from 1 species
GACAAACGCUGGCGGCGUGCCUAAUACAUGCAAGUAGAACGCUGAAGGAGGAGCUUGCUUCUCUGGAUGAGUUGCGAACGGGUGAGUAACGCGUAGGUAACCUGCCUGGUAGCGGGGGAUAACUAUUGGAAACGAUAGCUAAUACCGCAUAAGAGUAGAUGUUGCAUGACAUUUGCUUAAAAGGUGCAAUUGCAUCACUACCAGAUGGACCUGCGUUGUAUUAGCUAGUUGGUGGGGUAACGGCUUACCAAGGCGACGAUACAUAGCCGACCUGAGAGGGUGAUCGGCCACACUGGGACUGAGACACGGCCCAGACUCCUACGGGAGGCAGCAGUAGGGAAUCUUCGGCAAUGGACGGAAGUCUGACCGAGCAACGCCGCGUGAGUGAAGAAGGUUUUCGGAUCGUAAAGCUCUGUUGUAAGAGAAGAACGAGUGUGAGAGUGGAAAGUUCACACUGUGACGGUAUCUUACCAGAAAGGGACGGCUAACUACGUG